ACCUGUGAUGACUCUAUCCAACUUAUCUGAGAUGUUGUGAAGCCAAGACCCUGCUUCAGGGAGAACCUACUUGGUAGAACGACAUUUAUAUGAGUUCAUGGAUUUGGCUGAGGU